GUUGAUAAGGUUAAGUGAAUAAGGGCGCACGGUGGAUGCCUUGGCACUAGGAGCCGAUGAAGGACGGGACUAACACCGAUAUGCUUUGGGGAGCUGUACGUAAGCUAUGAUCCAGAGAUUUCCGAAUGGGGGAACCCAGCAUCUUUUAUAGGAUGUUACGUUUGCGUGAAUACAUAGCGCAUUCGAGGUAGACGCAGAGAACUGAAACAUCUAAGUACCUGCAGGAAGAGAAAGAAAAUUCGAUUCUCUGAGUAGCGGCGAGCGAAACGGGAAAAGCCCAAACCAAUGAGCUUGCUCAUUGGGGUUGUAGGACUCCAAUAUGGUAGUUCUUUCAGAUAGUCGAAUGACUUGGAAAAGUCAGUCAAAGAGGGUAAAAACCCCGUAGAUGAAAUUUGGAAGGCACCUAGGAGGAUCCUGAGUACGGCGGAACACGAGGAAUUCCGUCGGAAUCCGGGAGGACCAUCUCCCAAGGCUAAAUACUCCCUAGUGACCGAUAGUGAACCAGUACCGUGAGGGAAAGGUGAAAAGCACCCCGGAAGGGGAGUGAAAUAGAACCUGAAACCGUGUGCCUACAACAAGUCAAAGCCCGUUAAUGGGUGAUGGCGUGCCUUUUGUAGAAUGAACCGGCGAGUUACGAUUGCAUGCGAGGUUAAGUUGAAGAGACGGAGCCGCAGCGAAAGCGAGUCUGAAUAGGGCGUUUGAGUAUGUAGUCGUAGACCCGAAACCAUGUGAUCUACCCAUGUCCAGGUUGAAGGUGCGGUAAAACGCACUGGAGGACCGAACCCACGUACGUUGAAAAGUGCGGGGAUGAGGUGUGGGUAGCGGAGAAAUUCCAAACGAACUUGGAGAUAGCUGGUUCUCUCCGAAAUAGCUUUAGGGCUAGCCUCGGAAUUGAGAAUGAUGGAGGUAGAGCACUGUUUGGACUAGGGGCCCAUCUCGGGUUACCGAAUUCAGAUAAACUCCGAAUGCCAUUCAUUCAUAUCCGGGAGUCAGACUGUGAGUGAUAAGAUCCAUAGUCGAAAGGGAAACAGCCCAGACCACCAGCUAAGGUCCCAAAAUAUAUGUUAAGUGGAAAAGGAUGUGGGGUUGCACAGACAACUAGGAUGUUGGCUUAGAAGCAGCCACCAUUUAAAGAGUGCGUAAUAGCUCACUAGUCGAGUGACCCUGCGCCGAAAAUGUACCGGGGCUAAACAUAUUACCGAAGCUGUGGAGUACACCUUUAGGUGUAUUGGUAGGAGAGCGUUCUAAGGGCGUUGAAGGCAGAUCGUGAGGACUGCUGGAGCGCUUAGAAGUGAGAAUGCCGGUAUGAGUAGCGAAAGACAGGUGAGAAUCCUGUCCACCGAAUGACUAAGGUUUCCUGGGGAAGGCUCGUCCGCCCAGGG
rnacentral:rRNA from 1 species